GGACUUUUGGGAUAGCAUUGGAAAUGUAAAUGAAGAAAAUACCUAAUAAAAAUAUGAUAAAUUUCAUGUGACAGGAAUAAAAAAAUACAUUGUUUGGGGAGGAAAAAUAUUCCAUUCUAUUGAUAUGUGCUUACUUAACAGAGAGGGAGAAAUAAUAGAGAAAGUUCUUAAGUGUGCUGAGUUCCUAGUAUAACCAUGAACAGCAGAUAGUUUGAUAAGUUAGUUAGUCUUCAUUGCAUCGUCAGGAAAUCUCAAUAAGUCCUGUCUUGUAAAGGAGUAAAGUAUGUGUGACUACCCUGCAAAUAAAGUUGAUUCUAGAGACAUGUGCUAAGACACAUUUCUAUGAAAAAGAAAAAAAGAAAAUAUAAUCAGAAAGUGAUAAAAUGUUUUAUCUUAUUAGUAGUAAGUUUAAUUCUAAUUCUUAACUAAUUCUAGUUAUAACACAUAAUUCAAUAAUGUUCCGUAAGAUUAUUAUGGGUAUUCUAGAGAUACAUACCUCUCAAAUGUAGAGAUCACAUUCCCCAUUUUACAGGGAGGAAACUAAGUUCUAGGAAAUUAAAUAUACAUAGGCUAGGGUAGCUAUAUAAAUAUAACCUUAAAAUUGAUAAGUAGUCCAAUCCCGUUACUUGGAGUUCCACAGGACACCAAGCUUACAACAAUAGCAUAUAUGUAGAGGACCUGGUACAGAUCUUUGCAGGCAUCAUGCUUGCCACUUUGAUCUCUAUGAGCCCAUGCAAGCCUUGCUUAAUUGAGUCAGUGAGAUGUGUUCUCCUAUUGUCCACCAUCCCCUGUGACUUCACAGUCUUUCCUUCUUCUCUUCCAUGGGGUUACAUGAGCUUCAAGGGAAGGACCCAAUGGAGGCCUUCAGUUUAGAUUCUCUCUGCAUAAUGUCUGGCUGUGGGUCUCAGUACCCACUCUCACAUGCUGCUGGAGAAAGCCUUGCUGAUGGCAACUGGACAAGACACUGAUCUAUGGAUAUAGUAGAAUAUAAUUUUUUCCAGUUGUGCUUGGCUCUAUCCUAGGGCCAUCCUACUCUGGACUAUCCAGCCUCUUUUUUGUUUUUUGUGUUGUCUCUUGGGGGCCUGCUUUUUUCUGGAAGGGAAAUAAAUUGGGAGUAGAGCUGCAGUGGAGGGAAGGUAGGUUGAGAGGCCUGAGAGGAGUAGAAAGAGGGGAAACUAUGGUCAGGAUGUAUUGUAUGAAAGAAAAAUCUAUUUUCAAUAAAAUAAAAUACAUGUCUUUGCAGGUCAAAAGACUGAUAGGUAUGUAUAUAGCUAGUUGACAUAUAAGUCUGACAUAGAAGGUUCAUUACUUCUGAGUAUAGUAAUAAUCAUCCAUUAUAUUUCUGGAGGAAAUGGUAUAUUAUUAAAUAGAUCACAUUAUAUAGGAUUAAUUUGCUUCAACUGUGAAUGCAAUGCCCUCUAGCAAAAUAUGAUUGGCAUAUGAAGCAAAUUCCUUGGGUUUAAAACACAAGACCUACCUCUGAGUUGAUGACCUGUUAAAUUAUUUUUUUGUAUCUCCAUAGUCAUUUCCAACUAUAAUUAUUAAGUGAAAUAAAAGAUGAGUGCAGCUUUGUGAUUCCACAUUAGGAAACCCAACAGCUCAAACACAGAUAUGAGCAUUUAAACACCUUGUUUCUAUGUGUCUGAUGCAGCCUACAGGAAUAAAAUUUAAUUUAACAUUCCAGUAAUUCCUUAAAG
rnacentral:lncRNA from 1 species